rnacentral:tRNA from 1 species
AGUAAAAUCAGCUAAAUAAGCUUUUGGGCCCAUACCCCAAAUAUGACGGUGAAACCCCCUCUUUUACUA